AAGAAAUCUCUAUUAAAUCCAAAUUCUUCAGCAAUUAGGUCACUCGAUUUCGCUGUGAGUUUGGCCUAAAAAAUAGUAUCAGUAGGGCAGGGGCAGAUUCAUCUUAGGGGAUCCCCAAGCUUGGGGGGAGACUCAAUAUGAAAGAAAAUGUAAAAUUUCAAGUAAGCUUUAGGGCUUAUGCAAGCUUGUUUCUUCAGCUUCACAGCAAACGCACCUCUACUGCAGGAACAUCAAUCAGGUUUCUGGUCGAGUGCCUGACACUUGGAGUACACAUUCGAAGCUCUUCUAGGCACGUACAGACCUCAGGAGCCACACACUUCACAGUUUCUGGGGUGUGUAUGAUCCACUGCUUGGAAGGUGAAUCAGAUCCUGAUGAAAGCGAGGGAUUCUCUGCUGAAAGCCUGGCUGUUGUUCCAAGACAGAGGCUGCAAAUUGGUGGGCUGUGGGCCAGUCUCUGUCUGCAGAUGGCUUGUUGUGGUAGUGUCUUGUCUUCCUGUUCAGUGUUUCUUAAAAAUGUGAAUUAAACCGGUCAGACUUUAAAAAAAAACAUCAAAUUUCAUAUAAAAAGCUGAUUUCUUUUUUUUUUUCUUGUUUUUUUUUUUUUCCUCACUUGGGAAACUGAAAGUUCCACAGUGGACUUGGACUUGACAAAAUGACAGCUUCAGAGGAGGGAUGUGCUUGUUGCUCCACCCAGUCUCCACCUGGCUCUCUUCGCUUUUUAUUUUCCGGCCUGACCUUGGAAACAUGUGAUUCAUGACAGUUAUGGUUUCACUCUGAUGCUUUUACAAAAAUGCUUCCUCUUCAAGAAGAUUUCCAGAAAGGACUUUUUGACAAAUACAGGUUUCUGACUUUCAGACCAUAACACUGAACUGGAAAGGGCCCCUGCACUGGACUGGUCUAUAGAGAGGGCUGCUGAUGUCAAAAUCACCUUAAAACAACGCUCAAACAGAGGAGAAACUACACUCAUACCAGGAUGAGAGGAAGACAACAUUGGAAGUAGACAGCUGGCCUAAGAUGCUGCACCU